rnacentral:rRNA from 1 species
GACGAACGCUGGCGGCGUGCUUAACACAUGCAAGUCGAACGGGCUCUGUCUGGCUGUGUGCUGGGUGGGGUUAGUGGCGAACGGGUGAGUAAUACGUGAGUAACCUGCCCUCUUCUUUGGGAUAAGCCUUGGAAACGGGGUCUAAUACUGGAUAUUCCUGUCUGGUCGCAUGGCUGGGUGGGGAAAGUUUUUUUCGGUGGGGGAUGGGCUCGCGGCCUAUCAGCUUGUUGGUGGGGUGAUGGCCUACCAAGGCGUCGACGGGUAGCCGGCCUGAGAGGGUGACCGGCCACACUGGGACUGGGAUACGGCCCAGACUCCUACGGGAGGCAGCAGUGGGGGAUAGUGCACAAUGGGCGCAAGCCUGAUGCAGCGACGCCGCGUGGGGGAUGACGGCUUUCGGGUUGUAAACCUCUUUCGUCGGGGGACAAGGCUCUGCUUGGUGGUGGGGUUGAGGGUACCCGGUGAAGAAGCGCCGGCUAACUACGUG